rnacentral:rRNA from 1 species
UAUCACUUAAAGCGAUUCAGCGGGUUACGAUUGACGGAGCGAAGCGACGUCAAAGCGUAUACAAAGUCGAGUCGGUUUAAGGAUACGUUCGUUGGGUAGGGGAGCGUUCUGUAAGCCUGUGAAGGUGGCCUGUGAGGGUUGCUGGAGGUAUCAGAAGUGCGAAUGCUGACAUAAGUAACGAUAAAGCGGGUGAAAAGCCCGCUCGCCGGAAGACCAAGGGUUCCUGUCCAACGUUAAUCGGGGCAGGGUGAGUCG